rnacentral:rRNA from 1 species
ACGCUCGACACCUACGGGAAGCAGCAGUGGGGAAUAUUGCACAAUGGGGGAAACCCUGAUGCAGCGACGCCGCGUGAAGGAAGAAGUAUUUCGGUAUGUAAACUUCUAUCAGCAGGGAAGAAGAAAGUGACGGUACCUGACUAAGAAGCCCCGGCUAACUACGUGCCUGCAGCCGCGGUAAUCUGAGCGGGCUGGCAAGGC